AUGGGAAUUUUUACAAACCCGCGAUUUGCUAAUUAGUGGAGCGAGUUGGGAAUUAAUCCAGUUGUUCCGCAGGAUUUGCGUUAAGACUCCUCACUGAAACAACAUAUUAUCAGACAUAUGAAAUAAAAACUGAUAACAAAAUGCAUCUGGCAACCCAGAAGAUUAUUUCAAUUGUUUACCACUGAGGAAAAUUAAUGAUCAAAGAAGCCCACAGACUGGGAUGACUGAAUACGUAUUUAUGAUCUAAAUGACCAAAUUGAUGAUCUAAAUCAGACUUGAGGAUUGGAAUGAACCUGAACCCAUGGUGGAACUAGUGCUGAGGACCUGAAUUUUGGGAUGACGAAUAAUAAUAAUCCAGAAUGGUAUUAUACUGUAGUCGAGAUUCCUGUAUAUGGUUUAUAAAUAAUUUCCUUCUCCUAGCUAGGGGAACACCUUGAGCCCCUUUCUUUGCCUGACUGUAUUCCAGACACGUAGUUCAUCCUAGGGGAAAUUAACAGAUGCUGAGGUUUAUGCAAAAGAUUUUGGAGAUGGAAAUUGGAGAGAAAUGAACAUGAAAUUCUCAUGGGUGU